rnacentral:rRNA from 1 species
UUAAUUGAAGAGUUUGAUCAUGGCUCAGAUUGAACGCUGGCGGCAGGCCUAACACAUGCAAGUCGAGCGGUAACAGAUUGAUAGCUUGCUAUCAGUGCUGACGAGCGGCGGACGGGUGAGUAAUGCCUGGGAAUAUACCCUGAUGUGGGGGAUAACUAUUGGAAACGAUAGCUAAUACCGCAUAAUCUCUUCGGAGCAAAGAGGGGGACCUUCGGGCCUCUCGCGUCAGGAUUAGCCCAGGUGGGAUUAGCUAGUUGGUGGGGUAAUGGCUCACCAAGGCGACGAUCCCUAGCUGGUCUGAGAGGAUGAUCAGCCACACUGGAACUGAGACACGGUCCAGACUCCUACGGGAGGCAGCAGUGGGGAAUAUUGCACAAUGGGGGAAACCCUGAUGCAGCCAUGCCGCGUGUAUGAAGAAGGCCUUCGGGUUGUAAAGUACUUUCAGUUGUGAGGAAGGCGUUGGAGUUAAUAGCUUCAGCGCUUGACGUUAGCAACAGAAGAAGCACCGGCUAACUCCGUGCCAGCAGCCGCGGUAAUACGGAGGGUGCGAGCGUUAAUCGGAAUUACUGGGCGUAAAGCGCAUGCAGGCGGUCUGUUAAGCAAGAUG